UAAGCCCCAGCCCGUGUCUAUCCAGAAAGACCACUCAACUUCUCUGAUGUCCCACGAACAGAACCAGCCCGCUCACCUCUCUCUCUCCCCCAAGAACAGAGCACGGCCGCCGUCGCCUCGAUCUGCCCUGUACGGGCAUCUCCGGCGACACGGCGGACACCUAUAGAUUCCCCUCGUCUCCCUCUACCAUUUCCCCCUAUUUAUUUGAUCGGCCACCGCCAAAAACGCCGCCACCACUCAAUCCUAGCGCCGCCCGAUCCAGGUCUGGUGGGCUUGCCACCGGCUGCAGCGGCAACGACGUCUCCAUGCCUACAUCCUCCCCCCAGCGCAGCCACACGCACAAAGCGUGCAGCCACGGGCGUCGGGCGCGUGCGGCUUCACCGGCGCUGCUCGGUUGCCAUGCCUUUGCUGCUAACGGUGUGGACUAGCCACAUCCUACUGCUACUACUGCUAAAUAGAUCAAGGUGAAUAGAUGCUCAUGGACUGAUUCAAACCGAGGUGGAGAUAGAUAAGAAGUCAAGCAAGAAGGGCUAACACAACAAGGUACUUGAUAAGUACCUGGUGGCGCAUGCAACCCAAAGAGCUUCACAGCAGUGGAGGACAGUAGUGUGGCAGAAAGUGAAAAGGCAAGGUGAAAAGGCAGAGGGGUUUCUCCAGCGGAUGAUUGUGUGUGGCCACAGUGAAAGGGAUGGCUCCUAUUUGUAGUGGGGUGAAUAGCUAUGUCGGUUUGGAGACGCAUUACAUCUGGCAUGCAUGCGUGGUUAGUCUUGCAUGCAUGCCUCCACUUGUGUCUCUUGUGGGUUGUAUUAGGGACAAGUGUGAUUUGCUUGGCUGGCCAUUAGUUGGCAUUUACUUUGUGUGAGAGAAAUGAGACAAGGGUCUAUAAAAUAUAGGGAGGUUUGUAAAAGAAUUGUUGUGUAUGACUAAAUGCUAUUUCCUGUAAAAAUAUAUUAAAAGUAGUUGUUUCUAUUAUUUUAAUUAAUGUUUAGGAAACACCGUUGAAAUUAUCAUUAUCUAAUUUAUUUUUAUUAUUUUUAUUAUUAUUAUUAUUUUAUGGUUUUUACAGCUAUCCUACUGGUUGUUUCUGUAUGUACUAUCAUGUUAUCUUAGCCUACUAAUUGUUUGAAUAUAUUUAGCUAUCUUUCUAACAAUAGCCCAUCAAGCUAGCAAUAUUUCAUAAGCAACAUUUAUUAUACUAGAGAUUGACGAGUAUGAUAUAAAUAGUUUAAUUAAAUAGCUACCGUGAUGUGGAAAAUUCAUGUAUUUUCUGUUGCUGUUCAAGAGUAUGCCUGUUAAGAGAUUCAGUUGCCAUGGUUCCCUGGGCAAGAUUCAGUUUUACAUGGAUUAUUCUAGAUAAAUUCAAGUUAUUUGCGUUGGGACACCUAAGCUAACCUUUAUACCUUUCUAUUUAGGAGAUGGCAGCAAUAUAUACAAAAUAUGUCACUAAUUAUUUGUAGGGUUCAUUCUUGAUAGGAACAGAACUGUUAUAGCUGAUGUCAACACGUCAAGGAUAUUCAAGUUGUGUGUGGCACCCGGGAGAAAGCUUGCUAAUCCAUUCAACCACUUACAUGAGAAUCCAGUGCCGCAGGUGACUUAUUCAUGCAAGAACUGUUGUUAAGUGUUUUCCUUUUCUCCUUUGAUUCUACAAGCCGCAAAGGAGUGAAGGGUAGAAAAUAUUUCCAUUCUCGUUGAAUUGGUGGGAUUGUCACCAAGUAAGUGCUCUAGAUGUUUCUAUUUUAGAGUAAGAAGCCAAAUCCGCUUGUUCAUUGUAAAUCUUGGAAAACUUGUUGUUUAUUGUCACUUCCAUAUCUGUCAUAAACUUCUGUUGCUGGUGUGGUAUUUUUCAAU